rnacentral:rRNA from 1 species
UACGUAGGGGGCAAGCGUUGUCCGGAUUUAUUGGGCGUAAAGAGCUCGUAGGCGGUCUGUCACGUCUGCCGUGAAAACCCGAGGCUUAACCUCGUGGCUUGCGGUGGAUACGGGCAGACUAGAGGUAGGUAGGGGAGAACGGAAUUCCCGGUGUAGCGGUGAAAUGCGCAGAUAUCGGGAGGAACACCGGUGGCGAAGGCGGUUCUCUGGGCCUUACCUGACGCUGAGGAGCGAAAAGUGUGGGGAGCGAACAGG